AGGGAGCCUGAGUAACGGCUACCACAUCCAAGGAAG
rnacentral:rRNA from 1 species